rnacentral:rRNA from 1 species
UACGUAGGGUGCAAGCGUUAAUCGGAAUUACUGGGCGUAAGCGUGCGCAGGCGGUUGUGUAAGACAGAUGUGAAAUCCCCGGGCUCAACCUGGGAACUGCAUUUGUGACUGCACGGCUGGAGUGCGGCAGAGGGGGAUGGAAUUCCGCGUGUAGCAGUGAAAUGCGUAGAUAUGCGGAGGAACACCGAUGGCGAAGGCAGCCCCCUGGGUCAAGAUUGACGCUCAUGCACGAAAGCGUGGGGAGCAAACAGG